AUUUCUGUCCAAAGAGCACCCAGACAAAAAAUAAAAUAAAAUAGAAAGAUAAACACUGGGAAUGAUAAAUCCCAUCAUAUUUUUUAUUUUGUCUCGUAUUAAUGCAUGCAUAUGAAGUACAAUCUAAGCACCACCAUCCACUAACCAGAAAAGAAUAAUUCUUUCAGGAUCACCAAAUAAGCAGGUAAUAUUUCAUUCCACACAUAAUUUUUUAUACAUAUAAUUUGGAGCUCAGGGGAAAGAUGGUGUGGUCCAGCUAAGUAUGGUGUCUA
rnacentral:misc_RNA from 1 species